rnacentral:rRNA from 1 species
GAUGAACGCUGGCGGCGUGCCUAAUACAUGCGAGUCGAGCGAACAGACGAGGAGCUUGCUCCUUCGACGUUAGCGGCGGACGGGUGAGUAACACGUAGGUAACCUACCUAUAAGACUGGGAUAACUUCGGGAAACCGGAGCUAAUACCGGAUAAUAUUUCGAACCGCAUGGUUCGAUAGUGAAAGAUGGCUUUGCUAUCACUUAUAGAUGGACCUGCGCCGUAUUAGCUAGUUGGUAAGGUAACGGCUUACCAAGGCAACGAUACGUAGCCGACCUGGGAGGGUGAUCGGCCACACUGGAACUGAGACACGGUCCAGACUCCUACGGGAGGCAGCAGUAGGGAAUCUUCCGCAAUGGGCGAAAGCCUGACGGAGCAACGCCGCGUGAGUGAUGAAGGUCUUCGGAUCGUAAAACUCUGUUAUUAGGGAAGAACAAACGUGUAAGUAACUGUGCACGUCUUGACGGUACCUAAUCAGAAAGCCACGGCUAACUACGUG